rnacentral:rRNA from 1 species
GACACGACUCUCGGCAACGGAUAUCUCGGCUCUCGCAUCGAUGAAGAACGUAGCGAAAUGCGAUACCUGGUGUGAAUUGCAGAAUCCCGCGAACCAUCGAGUCUUUGAACGCAAGUUGCGCCCGAGGCCACCCGGUUGAGGGCACGCCUGCCUGGGCGUCACGC